ACUUGAUGCCACUUCGAGGAGCCUCAGACUGGCUGCUCUCUCAUCAUCUAUUAAAGAGCCCAGUACGAUGAUCAGUGGAUCAGACUUAUUAUCAGCUUCAGAAACCUGUUGAUGUGCUUGUACGUUUUUGGAUUCUUCUGUGUCGAGAUGGAUAAAUGUUUUCUCUGCUGUGCAGAGUUGAGUAAAUCAACACAUUCUACAGUGUCUUUUUGACACAAUCUGCAGAACGUGGAUAUGACAUGUAUCACAGUCCAUUUGGACCCAGACUGAACCAACAUCAGACAAAACAGUGGGUUUGUUUGAUCCACACCAGUGUUUGAAUGCAUGUUCACGCUUCCUUGAAAGAAGCUAAUUGUCUCCAUGAACGGACCAGAAUGAGCUCGGUGUAGAUGGCACAUAUCAGGCAGGGUGCUUCAACACGAACACUUCCUGAGAUGGUUCAGUUCUUCCUGGGACGUGUGCACGUUUUAAACUCCUGUGUGAACCGCUUGAGUCUGGUGUCAGAUGAUUCGGUGCGAGCACGAACUGGAACAAGUAUGCUAUAAGUGUAGCGUGGCCAUCUUAAAGAUAACGCAGUCCGACUCAAAGGGUGUGCGUCAAUCCAGGACACUUACAGAUGUGACAAACUCAAGAUAGAUGGCGGGUUGUGAUUGGUGGAGUGGCCAUCUUCAGGAGAUCUCGCUGAUUACGCUGCAGACGCAUUCAUGAUCAUUCAGCAAACAAAAACACAACCAUUAAGGCCGUCUGAUGGGGAAGGUUCAGGUUUCUGUCAGGACAAACAUAAGCCUCUUAAUUAGAGACAAACUGGGGAAAAAUGACUUUUUGUUGUCUAUUUCAUUACAAAUUAUCUAUUUUUCUCAGGAAUCAUUAAAUUAAAGCAGAUUUGUUUGCUGCUGAACUGUGAAGUGACAAUAAAUGGACCAAA